AAAAAAUUAGUUAAUUAAUAACAUUAGUUUGUCAAGCUAAAAUUAUCAUAAAUUGAUAUUUUUUA
rnacentral:tRNA from 1 species